rnacentral:rRNA from 1 species
UACGGGGGAUGCAAGCGUUAUCCGGAAUCAUUGGGCGUAAAGCGCCUGUAGGUUGUUUAUUAAGUCUGUUGUUAAAGCCUGGGGCUUAACCCCAGAAAAGCAAUGGAAACUAAUAGACUUGAGUAUGGUAGGGGUAGAGGGAAUUUCUAGUGUAGCGGUGAAAUGCGUAGAUAUUAGAAAGAACACCAGCGGCGAAAGCGCUCUACUGGACCAUUACUGACACUCAGAGGCGAAAGCUAGGGUAGCAAAAGGGAUUAGAUACCCCUGUAGUCCUAGCCGUAAACGAUGGAUACUAGAUGUUGCGCAUACUGUGCAGUGUCCUAGCUAACGCGUUAAGUAUCCCGCCUGGGGAGUACGCUCGCAAGGGUG